UUUUUAAUCAUCUGGUCUCUCUCUCAAUGAAAAUUAAAAAGAGAAAAAAAAAAGAAAUAACCAAGACCUCUUCUUCUCCCUAAAGAACCUACGCGUCGGCGUCUCAACCACCACCAACAAUCCGCCAUCGAAAUCGAAACCAACAGUUUCCUCCUCACCCGUAACACCCUUCCAUUCCCCUACCUCCAAGAUCUAGUUUUCUACGCCGACACAACCCUCAAUCCGCCGGAAACUACCAAAACUACCACCGUCACUCACAAUAUCUGACCAUGUCGUUUCGUCCGUGACCUACUAUAUCCGACCCAUACUCUAUCCGCUUCAUCUGCGCCAUCGCCAUGAUUUCCAACCAAUGAACCCCCAUCACCUCGCUUCCGAUCCAUGACAGAACCUUUUGUGGAGUAAAAAGAGAGAGUAAAAAAAAAACUCAAAGGAUCUGAACGUAACGUCACCGGACUGAUAACAAAUUUCCAUCGAGAAAACCGCGACACGACCUGUUGUAGCAGUUGCGCUCAUAAAGCGAUUUUCACCUCAUUUAUCUGGCUUAUUCCUCCGACAAUGGUAAAGUGAUGCACAAGGCGAAGGUCACGUCAUGAUUAACAAUAACCCAACAACAUAACACUCGUCACGAUCUCUACGACAACUUUCCGACAAAGCUGAUAUCCUCGUUUACGGUACACUCGGCACAAUAAUAACAUCGUCUCCUUGAUUGCGGUAAUGUCUCAAUUUUAGCUCUGCUUUUGGUAUUCGACAUUGUAUAAAGUUGUGUUGUUACAAUUUCUGUUUGGUAUGUGUGCAAUUGAUAUGAAGUUUCCAUGAUACCACAUCAUACAUGAUCGAGAUUAUACGUUUACGAUUCAAUUAUACUGUGUCAUGAUUGAUUGCCUUGUAAAUUCUUGUAGAUAAUUUAUCUAAAUAAUUGUAUUGAGUUGUUUCUCUUUGAUUUUACUGU